GAGUGGGGCGGGGACGAGCAGGCUGGCCACCUCCGGCCCCCACCCCCACGACCACGCCAGGCCGGGGAAGGGACCCCGGUGACCUCGCAUCCCAUGCACCACCCCCUUGACCCGUCCUUCCCUUUCACGGGGACCUUGGACCUGGAGGGCUCCUUGGACCUGAGGCCGGAGAGUGGAUGGAAGUGGUUCUAAAUAAAUAGCAGCUACUGCCUGCAAUGGGCCAGGCGCCCUGCAGCAAAGGAAAACAAAUGAGAUUCAGCCUGGUCUCCGUGGAAGAAGGAAGGCGUGAAACUUCUUGGGAAAACAAGACCCGCACACAAUAUUGGGACACAGACACAGACAGGCAUGAGGCAAGAUGAUGUGAAGAGACACCGGGAGAAAGAGCCACCCACAAAGCAAGGAGAGGCCCAGCACAGACCCUGUCCUCACAGCCCUCAGAAGGAACCAGCUCUGCCUACACCUGGAUUUUGGACGUCUAGCCUCCAGAACUGUGUGCCCACCAGAUGUGUUGUUGAAGCCACCCAGUGUGUGGAGUUUUGUUCUGGCAGCCCCAGCACAUUAUUCCUGUGCUAUGAGCCUCAGUGGUUUCUUACAGCCCAUUUGUCACCAGUCAAGUGUGCCAGGAGCAGGUGCUGAGACAAUAUUUGGGGUGCAGAAUGUUUAUUAGGGAUCAAACCUGUAAGAGGAAGAGGAAGGAGCCAUCAUAAGAAACAAAUGCAAAUGACAUGACACCAGUUAACAUAUAUGGCCAGCUAGUCCUGCUUUAAAAAUAGAAAAAGCUCAAAAUAAUUAAUAUCAGAAAAAGUAUAGAUGAUCUUCAAACUUGAUUUAUACCUAUUACACUCUUUAUUAGUUUAUAGAGAGUAUAACAUAAUUAAGGGUUUAUCUAUUUUCAUAUGGAGGGAGCUUUAUAAUCUACUAGUAUAACUUGGAUGGAAUUUUUAAUGCUAAUAACAAUAUUUUAUGAAUACUAAGACAAUACUAAUAUUUAGUUAGAAUUUAAGUCAAUAUAAUUUAAGGUAAAUUUUUUUUCAAAAAAGGAUGGGGAAGGGAUUAAGAUUGGGCAGAGGGAAAAGUUGAAUGAUAAUGUACAUGC